rnacentral:misc_RNA from 1 species
GAUGAAGAACGUAGCGAAAUGCGAUAAGUAAUGCGAAUUGCAGAAUUCAGUGAGUCAUCGAAUCUUUGAACGCACAUUGCGCCCUGUGGUAUUCCGAGGGGCAUGCCUGUUCGAGCGUCAUUAUAACCCCUCAAGCUCAGCUUGGUGUUGGGGCCUGCUGCACUGGCAGCCCUUAAAAUCAGUGGCGGCGCCAUCUGGCUCUAAGCGUAGUAAUUCUUCUCGCUAUGGAGUCCUGGUGGAUGCUUGCCAUCAACCCCCAAUUUUUCUAUGGUUGACCUCGGAUCAGGUAGGGAUACCCGCUGAACUUAAGCAUAUCAAUAAGCGGAGGA